AAUAAAAAUACAAAUUAAAAUAAAAGUAAAAAAAUACUUUUACUAGGGUAUGACAGCUAGCCAAGGCACAAAGGCUGUGAUGCACCCCAACUACAGGGGUCACUCUGGCCAGGGGCCGCCAGCAGGCACCAAAGUGCCAAGGGAAAAAGCCCUGCCCUGCUUACAGGGUGGGCUGGGGGACGGGAGAGCUCCGUUUCCCCCCUCGGGUGCUGAGACGGGGCUCUCACCCUCCGUACAGGGUGCUUGACCCUCUCUCCGGGCAGCCACAGGAGCACGACCACAAAAGGCCAACGCCAAGCAAAGCAAAGGACCCAGCCCUGCCUACAGGGAGGUUGCCCAGUGCCAAGCCGGCCGGGGCAGCCUGAAGGUGCCCACCGCACUCUUAGGUAUCCCUUCCCCGGGGAUGCCAGGGAGGUCCCUUUGCCCAGAGGGCCUUUCUCCUGCCCCCUCUUCAGCUCGAAGCCACUGCUCUUCUUGCCCACUCUUGCCUCGCUGUCCCACUCCGUGCCUCUGCUUUCUUCUUGGAUGGCUCCUGAUGAGACAGGACACAGUUUAGACUGAGAAGCUGCCUUUGCAGCUUCUAAGUUUCCUAAGAUACUUCUGAUUUUCACCUCUAUGUCCCUGAUAUUUCCUCAAGAUUUCACCCGAAAAUUUUAAUUUGCAUUUUAUCCCCUAAGGAUUAUCUCAUUUUUUUAUCCCCAAAACGUCCCCUGGAAGAAAAGGUGAGUAACUCAGCUUUUCCCUCCAAGAUCUUCAGUCCGUCCUUCAGACUUUACCUGAGAUUUUCCCUCAGAACAUCGCCUGGCUGUGCUUUCCAAGUUCCCUCAGCUUUACCUCUCUGAAACACUCUGUCCUUUCUGAGUUACCUCACCAAGGAGUUCAAGAAGCUUUUCCCUCAGUAACUUCACUGAAACACCCUGCUCCGACCCUCUGACACCACUGCUUAACACUCCCUACCUGUGUAACAGCCCGACUUGUAGGGCGACUCCACAACCAUUUACCUACCGAGCUUCUCAAAGCGCCUUUCACCUGCGCCCGCCCCACGGACCUCGGGAGGAGCGGGACUUGGCGGCUGAGGGGAGCGGAGGGAAACCACUCCCGUGUGCAGGGCGGGAACAGCAGCGCAGGAGCGGCACAGCAGCGACCGACCUGCCCUGCCCUGCCUCGUCUCCCUCAGGGCACCCUUCUCGCUCUCAAGUGGCACUGGUCCCCAGUCUCCAGAUGUGCAAGAUGUGGGAACCUAAACCCAUUGGGAUCCUGGGGCUAUAGGUGUUUGAGAUGCAGAUCCCUGGUAUCUCAAAUUCCAAUCUAACCACUGAAGAACUGUGAAAAUUCAUUCUCAGAGAGGUAAGAAAGUUACUGACUUAGAAAGCCUUGGUAAGAAAUGAGGGAGCUACACUGAGAGUGCAGUGACAGACAUAAAUUCAUCAGUGUUUCUGAAGGCAUUUAUCACGAGUAGAAUAAAGGUAUUUUGGGUUCCUUAAUCAAAUGCACUGACUUCCUUAAAGAUUUUAUCUUAAUGGUGAGUAAAAUGUGGUGUUCUCGAAAGGUUUUCUGGUUUAGGUCAAGAGGAGUUUAGUUUUGUCUAAGGAUUUUUGUACUUUAAUGUUGCCAAGUACAGGAAAAAAAAGGCUGAAGAUGAUUUGGAUUCAGAUACAUAUUUUCUUGAUUCCUUUUCCUCCUUUUUUCCCCUCAACCACAGAGAUAUGAAAAAAAGCUUGUACCAUACUUUUCAUCUUCUAAUCAUCAUCCCUGUGACAUUGUUCUGCCAGAUCUGUGCUAGGCAUGAACUAACUUGUCAGAUAGCUACAAACACAGACAGGGGAACUGAGGACUAACACCCUUAGAUAGAGAAACCUAAGAUGUGGUGUGGCUGAUAAGACUCUUGAGUCUUCCAGGACAGACCUGUGGGGAAUCUCAAGGCAAAAAAAUUAGAAACGUGCUCUCUGUUAGGCUGAAGAUCCCUUCUGGCACAAAGCUUCUGUGCUGCAACAUCCUUUUUGCUGCCUGAGUAUAGGCCAAAGGUGAAAGAUCUUUGGAAGGCCUUUUCUUCUGCCAGAAGUGAUUAAUGGAAAGCAAACAGCCAGCAGAUUGGAAUAACAGCUUGAGUGCCAGGAUCCUGCCAAAAGAACUAUGCUUGUGCAUUAAGAUUACUGAGCACUGGCUUUUGUCACUUGAACAUCUGUAUCCUGCUCUGAGGAUUUCAAAGCACGUCUGAGAUUCAUCCUCUUGGAAAAUGAAAGCACAGAAGUAGUCCCAUGCAUGCCAAAGAUUGCAAUGGGUUUAGUCAGACAAACCUAUUAUACUGCCUCUGGCUUCUCAGAAAGCUUAUUUAAAACAGUGAGAAUAUCUUCAAAUCAUAAUCUCCAAUAUAUAAGUUCCCUGAGCUCUAAGAAAUCAGGCCUACAGUCAAGGAAAAUAAACACACUACUAAUAAAACUGCCUGUUUGUGCCUGCGAUGAACAGCUGAAUAAAACUAAAAAAAAAAAAAAAAAAAAAAAAAAAAAAAAAAAAAAAAAGAGAAAGCAAGGAAAAAAAGGGGGAAACAGAAAAACAGUGUACACAAUUCAGAAUUGUUCUUGGUUCCUAACAGUCUACAUAAACUAGUUGUAGAAGCAUGGAGAAGACAAGGCUGUGUAUUGAUUGGCACGUUGUACACUGCAGAGAAAGGCCAGGGAGGCAGAUGUAUCAGAAAGCAUCCACAGCAACACUUCACACUACUUUAACUGCAACCUGUGUCAGAAGAAAGCUGCCAAAUAUUUGAAAAUGGUGCUGGAAACAUGACAGCUUAGAAGAGGAUGUCUCCCUCACAGGAACAACCACAGCUCAGUGAGAUACCUCAGGAUGGAGUAAAGUUCUACACAAUAUGACUCAUGUUAUAUUUGGCACUUGGUGCAGUUAAUCUUAUGCUAUAGAACUGAACAAAUGUUCAUGGCCAUAUAAUGACACAAAGUUCAGAAGUCCACUGUAUCACUGAAUCAGUCAUCCUGGACUGUGUUGGUGGAUAUACAGCCUGAAACCACAUUUGAUUAAUGCAAAGGUCAUCUUUAUUUUAGGAUUUUUGUUUUGGUUUUUGUUACUUCUUUUUCAUAGUCUGAGACACUGUCAAAAAUAUUGGACAUCACAAGGUUUAACUUUCAAAGGGUAGAUUAUUCUGCCUUUCCUGGUUUAAAAGUGUUCGAAAAAAAAAUUGAAUUGAUGGAGUACAUGUUUCCAUUUAUUGCUGCUGGGUGAAUUUUCAGUGAUGGCAUAAUCCUGGACGCUGAUGUCAUCAAGCUGAGGCAUGUUAAGCUGCUGUUUGACUGAGCUGUUUCCUGUGUCUAAACAGAUCAUAGAUCUCCAUGUACAAGCAUCUUACAAGUUUUAUCUUUGUCAUUCUCUAGCUUCUAUUUCAGUGUACUGUAUGACAAAUCUUACAUUAUUAUCUUCUGAUCUCCAUCACAACUUUCUCAUAUGAAUAUCUAAUCCUAAUGGAUAAAUCUGGCAUAUUGAAGGAUGACUGUUGGGUAACUAGUCAUUUAAUUAUACUGGAAAUGCAGGAUUGCAAAUACCAACCAUUACAGUUCCUGCCUAGCUGAAUCUCUAUUACUGCUAUUAUUUGCAACCUUGGUACAGCAAAUCUUUUUUUUUUUUUUAAUCUCUGAAGGAAUUAAUAUAUCUAGGUUAUUCUAAUUAGUAGCUUCCUAUUACAGUCAUAAAAAGCUUUAAAUAUUGUCCCUAUUGGCAGGAGAAAUAGGGAGAGGCUGUACUGAUAAAGAAAGCACAACAGUUGAAGCCUGACUCAAAACUAUAAUUAUUGUGGCCUGGUUGAAUCUCCAAGCCUGUCUGCAAGAAGAAUGGAAGUCUUAAAGUAAAAUAAGAGAAUUUGUUUUAGUCCUUUCCACAGGGAUACCUGAUGUGGAAUAACUUAAAGCAGUUUGGCACGUGGGACUGAAAACCUGAGAUUUAGUGCAAAUACCUAAUAGAAAAGAAAGUUUCUGGGUUUCUCAGCAUCUGAAAUGCAAAAAAAUCAAAUAUCUGGUAACUGAAGCAUCAAUUCUCAAUUUCAUGUGGCUUAUGUGUGGACUCACACAAGGAGAACCUUUGACAUACUGGAGGACUGUGAAAUUCCAACCUCAGUAUCACUUAGGAAGCGUUACUAACCUGUUGAUGUUUGCCUUGAUAAUACCUUUGUAGAUACCCACUAUAGAAUAAUAUGGUUUAUAAUAUGUUCCAAUAAUUUUCUAAAAUGUGGGAAGCUAUUUCAGAAAAAAAAACCCUCAACUUGUUUCAAGAGACAUUUUUUACUACAUUCAUAAACUUAAAAUAUGCAGUGUGUACCUAUAAUUAAAAUGCAUCUGAAAAUGUGAAGUUUAAAGGUAUAUAAAAAUUUAUUGAAUGGAAUUGUAGUUCUCUGUUAUAUUCUAUUUCUUAGGGUUAUAUUUUCUAUAUGAAUCAUGUUAGUUGCCUGGAAACUUUCCCCUGGGUCUGAAAACAUCCUUCUAGAAAACUUUAUCUUUACAUGACAGAAAUGGAGCAAAGGUUCACUUCUUUCUCUGAAAGGACUCCUUCCUUGUGAGCAGCCCUUAUGACGAAUAAACGAUGUGCUAUUUCUCUCUGUAUGUCCUAGCCAGCCUCUUCAUGUUUAUUAGUUCCUUAAUCUGUGGCUGGGUUAAUUGAAUCAUUGGCCCAUGCCCUGCUGUGAAUACUCAUCGACUGAGAGGUCUGCUUGGUUGAGAGCCCUCAGCGACAUUAUUUUUUAGAAAUCUGUAUUUUGUGGGUCGUUACUUGCAGAUCUUUGUCCUAAAGAUCCAUCUUUGGUUCCAGUUGUGACUGAUACUGAUGAACUGAGUGACACACACAGCCUGCACCUGUGAGCCCAUCUGCAAACACACACCAUCCAUUUUCCCCAGCAAAGGCUUUGCAAGUCUCUGCAGCACACCGUAUCUGAAAGCCAGUGGUUUUUAGCAAUAACUACUUCUAUUUAGUUUUGUCGAACAUUUGAUAUAUCUGGCCAAUGCAGGAUAACUUUUUGAAACAAAGUUAAUGUUCAUUUGCCUUGCAGGCCACAUAGACAAUAAUAUAGUUGUCGUUAGAAUAGUUCUUGAUAUUUUUCCUAGGUUGAUGCAUGCUGUCUAGGCCAGUUUUGAAAACACCUUUAUAUACAGAUACACAGAUAAAAAGGUACUUAUUCCUGUUACUCCAUUAAAAUACAAAUUUGGAAAAUUUGCCUCUUUAAAUUUUAAACAUGUACUAAGCUUUAUGCUCUUUGAUCAUAGCCACUUAUACUAUAAAAUUGCUUUUUUGGGGGGACUGCUUAGGAAAAGCCUAUAUGAAGUAUAGGCUGAAUAAAUUUCAAUUUUCACUUCAUGUUUGUGAAUAUCUAACUCAAAGUAGUCAUGUGCAUAUUUAAACCAAAGCAUCAGGUAUAAAAGAUGGGGUCCUCUAUUUUGGUAAAAACCUUUCAGAUAGUACUUGCUUUAUGUAUUGUUUUGCUAGAAUAGGAUCUGCGGGGAAAAUGAGGAGGGACAGUGACAGGAUCCAAGGAUAAGCCUUUAUGUGGCAUAUUUUAUGAAUGUCCAGAUUAUCUAUGUUAGUUUAACACCUCAGGAACAUCGUGGUUUCUCUCUACUCCCAGCUCAGAGAGAUGGAGCUGUUUGUGGCCCUAAUAAAGUAGCACAUCUGUAUGCCCAUCCUCUGCUAUGCUUGGACUCUUUGGUGAUCUAAAAUUUUUCAUACCUUCAUUAUUCUAGAAAUUGCUCAGCAUUUGUGUUUUAAACACUAGGAGGGAAUACUUUUUAAAACAAAUAGGCAGCAGUGUCAGAAAAAAGUCUCUCCAAACCAUAGUGUAGGAGACAUUUUUUUUAAAUGCCUGAAUUCUAAAAAUGUGGUGAAUGUGUUCUCAGGGCAUGAAAUAGGUAUGCCUAGACAUGCCCUCCAAACAGAAAGGGGAUGGCUAAGAAGAUAUUUAGUUUUGUUUUACAGUGGUGCAUGAUUUCUCCCAGUGGUUUGUAUGCAGUUAGUAUGGCCUCUUUAGACUGCGAUAGGCCACGUUUGCUGUACCUAUCUUGUCAUCUUUGAAUGGGGAGGAUUUUGUCGGUGUAGAUUUUUAAGCACUAUCUUAUCCGUCUUUCUAUUACUCGCUCUGUCAGUUUUGUACCUGGGUAUGUGAGUUUUUCAAUGUGACACUAAAAAAUAAAAGUUGUAAUUAUGUAA